rnacentral:rRNA from 1 species
GAUGAACGCUAGCGAUAGGCUUAACACAUGCAAGUCGAGGGGCAGCAUGGUCUUAGCUUGCUAAGACUGAUGGCGACCGGCGCACGGGUGCGUAACGCGUAUGCAACUUGCCUCACAGAGGGGGAUAACCCGUCGAAAGACGGACUAAUACCGCGUACACUUGGGAUAGGGCAUCCUGACCCAAGGAAAUGAAAUUCGCUGUGAGAUAGGCAUGCGUCCCAUUAGCUAGUUGGUGAGGUAACGGCUCACCAAGGCGACGAUGGGUAGGGGAACUGAGAGGUUGAACCCCCACACUGGUACUGAGACACGGACCAGACUCCUACGGGAGGCAGCAGUGAGGAAUAUUGGUCAAUGGGCGAGAGCCUAACCAGCCAAGUCGCGUGAAGGAUGACUGUCUUAUGGAUUGUAAACUUCUUUUAUACGGGAAUAACAAGAGUCACGUGUGGCUCCCUGCAUGUACCGUAUGAAUAAGCAUCGGCUAACUCCGUG